CGAGACAAAGAUGACUACGUUCCUGAGGACGUUUUGACACCAGGACAUAACGAAGGCAAAAUACAUGAUCAUUCGCGUGUGAAACUGAAUGUGACGGAAGCAGUAAAAUCGGAUUACAUUAAUGCUAAUUACAUAGACGGUUACAAGAAGG